GUUUCCUGUCACUGUGGGCUUCACAGCACAGUAGUAAACAGCAGAGUCUGUCACUGCAGCAGAGGAGAUCUGCAGUUUGACAUCAUCUCCUGACAGAUCUGGACUUUCUCUUCCUCCACACUGGGAGCAACAGUUUGUUCAAGCUGCAGCUGGGAUUUGUAUUUGAGGGAUCUUGUUCAACCUGAACUUCAACAAAGGAGGUCAAAGGUCUAGCUUCCAGCUCACCUUCUCAAGGAAAUCUCCUCGCCCUUCAAGCUCUACAAACUCCUUGUAGCGACGCGAUGUCCUGCAGGAAAACUUCAACAAGCAACGGAGCUUCACAGCUCAACAGAACCGCUAAGGCAGAAACCUCUCGACCAACCGGAGACUUCACCGAAUUGCUACUGAACAGCAACCUCUUUUCCUUGUAUCUCGGACUGGUAACAAUCUGGGCUUAAUAAUUAUACUGCGCUAAGCAAGACUGUUUAUUUGAUUCUGUGUGUGUUUAUAAGUUUAAUAUGUGUUUCUGAUAUUGUGUUCUAAGUUAUAUUAAAGCUAAUGUUAGAUAGGCCCUUCACAGACUUCCUUUGUAGGUCUCUCUGACUCUGGCAUUCUCUGAUUAAGAUCUACACAGACACGCAUAGCAUUUCACCUAAUUUAACAAUCCCCCUUGGCCGUAAAGCCACCUCAGAAGAAGGGGGGGGGGGGGGGGGACUCUUAUUUUAGGGGAUUAAACCACCAUUUUGACAGCAUUCUAGAAAGGUGUGAGGUCAGCAAUUUUGGGAGGCCCCCAAAUUUACAUUCACACAAACACUCAUAUACACCUCCUUGUUAGUUUGAUUGUUUAGUAAUUUGUGUUUUUAUACUUUAUUAUGUUCAUAAUAAAUGUUCUUCU